rnacentral:rRNA from 1 species
UAUGUGAAUCGCAGAAUUCAGUGAAUCAUCGAAUCUUUGAACGCACCUUGCACCUUUUGGUAUUCCAAAAGGUACACCUGUUUGAGUGUCAUGAA